rnacentral:rRNA from 1 species
UACGUAGGGGGCAAGCGUUAUCCGGAUUUACUGGGUGUAAAGGGAGCGUAGGCGGCGAUGCAAGUCAGAAGUGAAAGCCCGGGGCUCAACCGCGGGACUGCUUUUGAAACUGCGUUGCUGGAUUACAGGAGAGGUAAGCGGAAUUCCUAGUGUAGCGGUGAAAUGCGUAGAUAUUAGGAGGAACACCAGUGGCGAAGGCGGCUUACUGGACUGUUAAUGACGCUGAGGCUCGAAAGCGUGGGGAGCAAAC